rnacentral:rRNA from 1 species
AUUGAACGCUGGCGGCAUGCUUUACACAUGCAAGUCGAACGGUAACAGGCCGCAAGGUGCUGACGAGUGGCGAACGGGUGAGUAAUGCAUCGGAACGUGCCCAGUCGUGGGGGAUAACGCAGCGAAAGCUGCGCUAAUACCGCAUACGAUCUAUGGAUGAAAGCGGGGGACCGUAAGGCCUCGCGCGACUGGAGCGGCCGAUGUCAGAUUAGGUAGGUGGUGGGGUAAAGGCUCACCAAGCCAACGAUCUGUAGCUGGUCUGAGAGGACGACCAGCCACACUGGGACUGAGACACGGCCCAGACUCCUACGGGAGGCAGCAGUGGGGAAUUUUGGACAAUGGGCGCAAGCCUGAUCCAGCAAUGCCGCGUGCAGGAAGAAGGCCUUCGGGUUGUAAACUGCUUUUGUACGGAACGAAACGGUCCUGGUUAAUACCUGGGGCUAAUGACGGUACCGUAAGAAUAAGCACCGGCUAACUACGUGCCAGCAGCCGCAGUAACAC